GGCAUAGUGGCUCAGAGGUUAAAGCCUCUGCCUGCAAAGCAGGAGACCUGGGUUCAAUCCCUGGGUCA
rnacentral:tRNA from 1 species